rnacentral:rRNA from 2 species
UUAGUAAUAGUUUUUAUGAUAGUGGCGCGCGGGUGCGUAACGCGUAUGCAACCUACCUUCAAUUGGGGGGAUAACUCUGGGAAACUGGAAUUAAUACCGCAUAAGAUAGUAAUGCUUCAUGGCAUAGCUAUUAAAGAUUUAUCGAUUGAAGAUGGGCAUGCGUGACAUUAGUUAGUUGGUGAGGUAACGGCUCACCAAGACUUCGAUGUCUAGGGGUUCUGAGAGGAUGAUCCCCCACACUGGUACUGAGAUACGGACCAGACUCC